rnacentral:rRNA from 1 species
CAAUAGCGUAUAUUAAAGUUGUUGCAGUUAAAAAGCUCGUAGUUGGAUUUCUGAUGGGAGUACGGGUCGGCCUUAACGGGUUGCACUGUUGUUACGUCUCGUCGUUUCGAGGGGAAUGGGUUCGCUAUUAGGUUAGUGGGCUCGGGAACCUUGUCGUUUACUGUGAAAAAAUUAGAGUGUUCAAAGCAGGCCUUUGCUGUGAAUACAUUAGCAUGGAAUAAUAAGAUAGGACUUUGGUACUAUUUUGUUGGUUUGCAUACCAAAUUAAUGAUCAACAGGAACAGUUUGAGGAUAUUCGUAUGAACAUGUCAGAGGUGAAAUUCUUGGAUUUUGAUCAGACGAACUACUGCGAAAGCAUUUAUCAAGGAUGUUUUCAUUAA